rnacentral:rRNA from 1 species
AUAUGAAGCACUCAUGUUGUUGCAGUUAAAAGCUCGUAGUUGAACCUUGGGUCUGGCUGGCCGGUCCGCCUCACCGCGAGUACUGGUCCGGCUGGACCUUUCCUUCUGGGGAAUCUCAUGGCCUUCACUGGCUGUGGGGGGAACCAGGACUUUUACUGUGAAAAAAUUAGAGUGUUCAAAGCAGGCCUUUGCUCGAAUACAUUAGCAUGGAAUAAUAGAAUAGGACGUGCGGUUCUAUUUUGUUGGUUUCUAGGACCGCCGUAAUGAUUAAUAGGGAUAGUCGGGGGCGUCAGUAUUCAGCUGUCAGAGGUGAAAUUCUUGGAUUUGCUGAAGACUAACUACUGCGAAAGCAUUCGCCAAGGAUGUUUUCAUUAAUCAGGGAACGAAAGUUAGGGGAUCGAAGACGAUCAGAUACCGUCGUAGUCUUAACCAUAAACUAUGCCGACUAGGGAUCGGACGGUGUUUCUAUUAUGACCCGUUCGGCACCUUACGAGAAAUCAAAGUUUUUGGGUUCUGGGGGGAGUAUGGUCGCAAGGCUGAAACUUAAAGAAAUUGACGGAAGGGCACCACCAAGCGUGGAGCCGGCGGCUUAAUUUGACUCCCGCC